UACAGAGGUGGCAAACGUUGUUCGGAAUUACUGGGCAUAAAGCGCACGUAGGUGGUCCGCUAAGUCGCGUGUGAAAUCCCCCGGCUCAACCGGGGAAUUGCGCGCGAUACUGGCGGGCUAGAGAUCGGGAGGGGUGAGUGGAACUCCAGGUGGAGCGGUGAAAUGCGUAGAUAUCUGGAGGAACACCGGUGGCGAAAGCGACUCACUGGCCCGACACUGACACUGAGGUGCGAAAGCUAGGGUAGCAAACGGG
rnacentral:rRNA from 1 species